rnacentral:misc_RNA from 1 species
UGUUAAGUGUUGGAAACUGCAACAUGCCUUAUUCAUGUGAUAUUUCGGCGUCUCCCGUUAUGGAUCCCGCCACAAUAUUCAAUAAUAUAACAUCUUACAGUUUUCUUCGCUAUCUCCCCACCGAAGAGGCUGCACAGACGUUUUGCCAUCUUGUGGGGCUCAUCCUCAAGGGCUCAUUCGUGCCCCAUCCGGACCUAACCGGUUUCUUUCCGCCAUGUCCUAAGUGCGGAGGCACUAUGCGGAAGGAACCGGCUCCAUCUGACAGGUUCGGAUUCGUCUACCGCUGUGAAAAAGUACAGCAGAAAAAGAAGAUGAGGAGGCGGACUGGCGGCACCGUCUUCAGGGCCAUGUGCACUGGUUCCCUGUCUUGCACCCACAACACCUUUUUCGAAAGGACACAGCUGACAGCCCAAGAGGUGCUGAUGCUUGUCUAUUCGUGGGUCAAGCAGGAGCCGGUCACCGUCGCCGCGGAGGAAUGCGGCGUGGCCCCCAAAACAGCGGUAGAUUGGUACAAUUACUGCCGUGAAGUUGCGGAGGUUUUCGUCUCCCACCAGCAAAACAUCCAGCUCGGGGGUGAAGGCAUGACCGUCGAGAUCGACGAGACCUUCACCCGGAGGCGAAAAUACAACCGCGGCCGCGUAACUAAAGGCACCCAAAUCACCAUCUUCGGUGCCUAUUGUCGGGAAACAAAAGAGGUGAUGUACUGGCAUGUGGACAACAAGAGCCGACGGGUUCUCUGGAGCCACAUGCUCAGAUACAUCGCCCGCGGUUCCAUCAUUGUUUCCGACAGCGCGGCCCAAUAUCGCGGUUGUACGACGAUGGGCUUCUCUGAACAUAAGACCGUUAAUCACAGCCAGCGGGGCCCCGGGAGAUUCGUCGACGCCGAUGAUCCCGAGGCCCACACUCAGAACAUCGAGUGCAGAAAUCGCUGGCUGAAGAAGUCCAUCAAGUCGCUCCGCACGGACAGGAGCCUGCAGAGCUACAACUGUACGUACGUGUACAGGACGCGGGUCCUGUCCCAGUUGCCAACAACAUCGGCAAAAUUCCGGCAGUUCAUCGGGGACAUCGUGGCCGUCUACCCGGGCCCCGGUCGUCAGGGUCUCCAACUCCGGACGAUCGGUGUGCCCGUGGAUCAACAUCUGCCGCCGGACGAGCCCUAUUUCGAUGUUCCCGUGCACGAGGGCGACGAAGAGGAACGGCAGGGGGAUGACGACCGCCCAACAACAUCGGGCGCCAACAUCUUCGUCAUCGACCCCCAGGACCUAGCCGAGGCGGGGACCAGCGGCCUCACCCCGUCCUCACCUACGCAACAUCGGGAAUAGGCUAGGCGUCGCCAGGUAGCGAAAGGAUGUGGCGGGAGACGCAGGAGGAAACGCUGUUGAAGACGAUAGAAAUCUCUCCGUAGUUGGCGCUACGGACAGCGACCGAGAAGUUAUAGAUCUCCGAAGUGACUUGUCCCAUCUGUAUGGACGUUUACAUCGAUCCGGUGUCCACCAGUUGCGGACACGCGUUCUGCAAAUCUUGCAUUGAUAGGAUCGUGGAAACGAGGAAUCGUCGGUGUCCACUUUGUAGAUCUCCGAAAUUCGGCAUUAAACGGCGAGGAGAUAAA